UCCCACUGAGUCAAACAUAGAACGACGACCAGAUCUGAGAGACCGCAACCUUCCUCCACUUCCAGGCGACCGGCGGUGGCGGCAGCGGCGGCUCAGCCUCGGCGACGCGCGGGUCGGCGGCGGCAGCAGUGGCUCUGGUUUUGUGCGACCGGUGGCGGCGGCUCGGCGUCGACGAGCGCGGCUCGGCAUCGGCGUGCGUGGCUCAGCGGCGGCAGCAGCAGCUCUAGUUCGAUGCGACCGGCGGCGGUGGCUUGGCGUUAGCGUGUGCUUGGGACAAACCACUCCACCUCUUCUUCUUCCCUCUCUCGGUCUCAAUCUCAGCCGCCAGAGGACUACGCCGCCGACUCGUUGGACCGCGCCUCCCCCUCCCGUAACGCCUCCUCCAAGUACGACUUUGUCAAGGUCAAGGUCUGGCUCGGCGAGAAUGCCGAUCACUACUACGUCCUCUCCAGGUUCCUCCUUUGCAGGAUGCUCACCAUCACCAAGGUGAUACCCAAUCAUGUUGCCAUUAAGAUUGCCCUCGAACUCAAGAAAUUGCUUGUCGACAACAGCCUACUUGAUUUCUCAUAGUGACUUAGAGGCUAACCUAUUCAAGCUGAUGGAGAAGCGGGGAUAUUGCGAGGAUUAUAUUAACCGGUACAAAAUGAUGACAAGCCAACUCAUUUGUUUGGGGUGUUCUUUAGGGAAAUGUGACAUCCAUACCUGCAUGAGGAGCAAGAUUUCUCUUGAAUGAAACCUGUCAUUUUCUUUGCAAAGUUUUUUGGUGUUCAUUCUGCUAUUAAUGAUUUGGAGGUGGAAAAGGAGGUCAUGUGGUCAUCCAAUCAACAGAAGUGAACAAGGUGGUGGGAUUGUAGCUUUCACCUAUGCUCAUUACAGCGUGCAAGUAUAUUUUUUUCAGAGAAGUUAGGUGCAGGAAGGUUUGGUUUUGUAUUCAAAGCAAUUCUAAGUGACUCAACUACUAUAGCAGUAAAGAUGCUCAACUAAUAGAUGUUUGGCAGAGUAUCUGAGAUAUGUUAGAUGUUGCUGAAACUAGUCUUUUCAUGGUGCAACCUAUCUGUGAUUAGAAUUCUGAUUGUAUCUGUUAUUAGUUGAAUCUGAGAUGGUAUCCGUUAUUAGGUUUGAAUCUGAGAUGGUAUGAGAAAUUUGAUUGAAUUUGGUGGGCUCAAAUUUAAUAGGCCUGUUUAGUGUGCUUUGAUCUGAUAGUUGGUUGACAAAAUAUGCCAGUUUUGAAAUGGACCUAUUUUAAAAUGGGCCAGUUUAAAAAAAAUAAUGGAAACCCUUCAUUCGACGCCGGAUCAAACCUCUCAAGGAUCGGGUCCGGGUUCGCCUUUGACUACACCGGGGCCGACGACCUGACUCGGGAGACUGCGGAGACACUGUGAUUAGAGGACAUCCGGUCCCAAGCCCGCAGGCUAUUUGCUCCGAACACCCUGAUCCCAGCAAGCGCCCCUGAUUUUCCGUCACCGUUUCACUCUGGAAAUGCACCACCCGCGGAUCACCGUUGCCGAGCUUGUGGGCAAGUUCUUUUUAUUCCGUCUUUCGCUUCUCCCCGUAUAUGUUUGCUGACUCGUGCCCUACUAGUAGAGGCACUGUCCCGGGCGAAAUCCAUGGUGGAGGCAUCCGAGGCCAGGACCCAGGAAGCUGAGCUGGCUCGGGACCGGCUCAUCACGGUUGCCCUCAACGUACUUAGGGUGACGCCGCUGUUGACGCAGGGCUCCUCGUCGAUCAACAUAGACAGUGUGGUCCAGCAGCUUGAGAGGGUGCCUGCGGCUCACGACGCCGAGUUGCGUGAGACGGCAAAGUUGGCUUCCAACCAUGCCCUCGCCAUCAUGAAGUUGUUGUACCCCCAAGUGGAACUAGAUGCCGUAUGCGACGGGUUCGCCAUCGACUACAACGAGGAGACGGGGAUGAAAUACAUCAAUGAGGCAGAGGUGGCCACCAGGUCGGUCGCCUUUGCCCUUGGCCUGUAAAUAGAUAGGAGACCUUGCAACAGUCAACUAUGUUUUAGGCCAAACAAUUGUAACAUGGUUUUGUAUAAUC